AUUCAGAUGCAUCGAACUCACAGAACAUCGCUCCCCAGCUGCUGGCUCGCGGUUCUGAGAGUGCCUGAAUAGAAAACCACUCAUUUCCCUUCGCAAAAGAGGCGCCCAAAGCAGAUAUUUCAAUAUAUUCCAAUUUAGCCGAGGGAAGCCAGAACAUGGAUGUUGUUGCCAAGGAAACCACCUCCUUCCUCCUGUGUGCUGUGCAUACGUGUAUCACUUCAUCUCUCUGCUCUCCAAGCUUGAAUCUAGAUCUGACGUGGAUAUCCUGCCACAGUUCCGAAGUCUACCUAGUGCCCCAGCCGAACCUGCCCUGGCUCCUAGGUGGGGUAUGGACAUCUGUGACAUCCCUCCCCAACACCCCACCAAGCUGGGCUGCAAGACGGGUUAUGGUGGCCCCAUGACUUCCUUCCUUGAAAAAGUUUGCCAACUCCUGCUCUAGAUUGAUGGUUACAAAGUCUGACAGAGGAUACAGUUACAGGGACAUGGCAAAGCCAGAAAAACGAGGACCGGGAGUCCAGCUUUCAACAAAGCCAAUCUAUUCAAUCUCCAGACUACCCUUUGUACCAAGGAAGUCACGGGGUGACUCCAAGCAGGGCCCCCUUUGCAUUCAGCCUGCCCUUCUCUCAGCCCAGGUAA
rnacentral:lncRNA from 1 species